GACGAACGCUGGCGGCGUGCUUAACACAUGCAAGUCGAACGAUGAACCGAGAGCUUGCUCUUGGGGAUUAGUGGCGAACGGGUGAGUAACACGUGAGUAACCUGCCCUGGACUCUGGGAUAACCCCGAGAAAUCGGAGCUAAUACCGGAUAGGACCCUGUACCGCAUGGUGUGGGGUGGAAAGUUUUUUCGGUCUGGGAUGGACUCGCGGCCUAUCAGCUUGUUGGUGAGGUAAUGGCUCACCAAGGCGUCGACGGGUAGCCGGACGGGGAGGGUGACAGGCCACACUGGGACUGAGACACGGCCCAGACUCCUACGGGAGGCAGCAGUGGGGAAUAUUGCACAAUGGGCGCAAGCCUGAUGCAGCAACGCCGCGUGCGGGAUGACGGCCUUCGGGUUGUAAACCGCUUUUAGUAAGGAAGAAGGGGAGCUUGCUCCUUGACGGUACUUGCAGAAAAAGGACCGGCUAACUACGUGCCAGCCGCCGCCGUAAGAC
rnacentral:rRNA from 1 species